rnacentral:misc_RNA from 1 species
UGUAUAUAUAGUAAUGAUAUCUUACAUCUAGUCCAAAAUUCUACAAGAUAUUAGAAGGCUAAGAAGAAUUAGAAAUCCUGAGAAUACUAUGCUCCUGUCUCAACUAAUAGAUUCUUUUGUUUCUCAAUUUGAAAAUAGAAACAAAGAAAUGGAGGAAAAGCACGUGAAACGUGCAUAUUCCAGCAGCAGAAGGAUUCAAGUA